CAGGAGAAAGUCUAUUUAUAAAUGUUAUUGAUAAAUGUCCCAGAAUCCUGCAAUAUUUGGUCCUAGAAUAAAAGGUACAAAUAAAAUAAUUUUAAAAGGAUAGAUUAAGUAAAAUUAUAUUUUGAUACAUUUUAAUAUAGAUAUUUUCCAGACUUCCAGGCAGGCAGAAUAUGAGAUUUAACAUUCCACUGUAAUGAUUGGGUAACAAAAUCUUACACAAUGUCAAUACAAUAUCUCGGCCUUUUUGGAUAGCUUGGUUAUUUAUCCUCAGUUUUACUAAUGGAUUAUUCCAGCCGGGGACACAUUGUGAAAAUUAACAGAAAAACACAGCGUUUCGAAGGUUGGCCGAUAGUCUUUGUAGUCUUAAAAAAAAAUACAAACCUGACUUUUGUAAGUUCACCGACUUCCUUUUGCAUAUUUUGGCUCGAUAGGGAAAAGAUCUCCAGUUCAAUUAAAACAUUUAUCUAAGAGCCACUAAAUUAUUCACAAUAUUUAAACAUGAACAGCAGCCACGUACACUUACAUACCAGCCUCACUUUAUCACAUAUUUCUAAAAGAGAUCCCCUGCUGUAUGCCUCCGUGGUUUGGAAUGCCGCCCCCCUUGUGCACAAUUCUGUAAACUGACAGGGGCCCACUUGAAAGUUUGGGUAAUACUUACAUUGCAAGAAGUAAUAUUGUGCUUCUGUCACAGAAUGAAAUCCGUACAGAUAAACAGAUGUAAUAUACAGUGCGUUAGCCCAUUCAAAAUACAAUAUAUAACCAUGAAAAUCAUCGUAAUGUGAUAUAUGACGAGUUUGUUUAAAGGUUACGUGAAGCACCAUAACCACUACAUUGAUUUGAAGCGGUCAUGGUGCCUGGAGUUUUUAUUCGCAGUAUUUCACUAUGAAACGCUGCACAUGCGGAGUUUAACCCUCUGUUGCCAGGGGUGUUAGUCCACCUCGAGCAGCGUCAUUGGGGCGCCUUUGGCCAGCCUAGAACAAGGCAAGAUAAUCUCAAUUUUGUGCAUUUUAGAUGUCUGACGUCAGCAUCCUGGCGACAGAGGUCCAAUGGCAGCACGGUGCCCCUGUGCUGCCUAGUUCUUCCCCUCAGGCUGUCUUCCCCUACAUACCUCCUCCGGUUAGAUGGAGUAACACCAGCAGAGGACCAUCAGGCUAAGGAGAGAACUUAUCCUCGACGCUGGAACAGGAGUUUAUGUUUUAGUCUUUAUUCAAUCUUUAUUUUGCAUUAAACGGAAGGACAAAAAUCAACAACCAAUACAGAAAGAGUGUUAGUGACAAUCAAUUCGGUUUGAAAAAUUGCACAUCAUAAGUUUUUGCCCAUUGGGCACUUGUAAGGUCGGGUAUAAUUGUGAUGUUGUGAUAGAUGGUGGAGCUAUUUUGGUGCUCCGGGUGAUUGGCUAAAUAAUAGAUCUAUACAGUACAUAUGUUGUUUUCUAUGUUUGAGUAUUUACGUAUUGUAAAUACUAUGCAUUAUCUCCAUAUCCCAAGGCAGCUUGUAGAAAAGAAUAUUCAGUUAAGCACAGAAACCAUGCUGCGUUGUCCCAUUAGAAAGGAACUGUACAGUCUGUGUCUGGUUUUUGAGGUCUUUGAAUCCUAACUUGAGCAACGUCACGUAAAAGCUCAUUUCUAAGUGAACUGACGGAAUUUGUUACAUUGAAAAAGUAAGUCAUGUCAGUGUUUAUUUGCAAAUUGCUGUCGUCUUAUUUUGGAUCACAAAUCUGGAAACUACGAAAAUAUAUGAAAGGCUAAACGUGAUGGUUUAUUUUCAAUCUAUUUUACUACAUAAUUAGAAUUUCAGUUUAAAUUAAAAAACAAAUUUUUUUACUUACCGUAAAUUUGUUUUUCCUGAAGAUUAGAGGCAGUGCUUUACCAAUGGGAUUUCUAAUCUGGAGGGAAAAAACAGGCAGGCAAUUCUCCAAACUUUUUUAAAACCCUCCCCCUAUAAAUGUCAGCUUACCAAAAAACAACCCCAGAAAACACACAAGCCGGUUACAUGCACAAUUCCGAGUUUAUUAGAAAAAAAGGGGGAGGGAGUGAAUUAUAGCACUGCCUCUAAUCUUCAUGAAAAAGAAAUUAACAGUAAGUAAACAUUUUUGUUUUUCCCUUCAGAUUAGAGGCAGUGCUUUACCAAUGGGAUAUGAAAAAGCAAUCCCUUAGGGUGGGAUACAUUUCCCCACUACUUGUAGCACCUUGCGCCCAAAAGCUGCAUCUUCUGAGGCCAGUAUAUCUAACCUGUAAUGUUUUGAGAAUGUAUGAAGCGAUGACCAUGUGGUCUCUGAACAAAUCUGGGAAGGCGUAGCUGCAGCUCGCAGAGCCCAGGACGUAGAUAUAGCUCUAGUUGAAUGGGCCUUUACAGAGCCUGUGAUUUCCGCGUUACUUGUGGAAUAAGCUAAAUGAAUACAAUCCUUCAGCCAUCUAGCCAGAGAACUUUUUGAAGCCUUCAUACCUUUCCUUGCGCCUUUAAUUAAGACAAACAGGCUGUUAUCCUUCCUGAAAGACUUAGUAGAUUUUAGAUAUUGCAUAAGACAUCUCUUCACGUCUAGGCAGUGAAAUUUUCUUUCCAAGGAAUUGGAUGGAUUUUGGCAAAAAGUAGGCAAUACCACUUCUUGAUUGAUGUUAGACGAGGUCAAAACCUUAGGGAUAAAAGACGGAUCGAGCUUUAAAACUACCUUGUCUUGAUGAAAAACCAAAAAAGGAAAAUUUGCCGUAGAGCUUGGAGUUCACCUACACUCUUGGCUGAUGUAAUUGCCACCAAAAAUACGUUUUUUAAUAAUAAAAUCUUCAGAGACGCCUUUUCUAGUGGUUCAAAAGGCGGCUCACGAAGAGCUGAUAAUACUAAAUUUAGAUCCCAGGGCGGACAGGUUUCCCUAAAGUUAGGAACCAAACGGCCCAGAGCCCUGAAGAAUCUAGAUAUCAGAAUGUUUGAUAUUAAACAUCUGAAAGAAAAGAAACUGAUAGCUGAAACUUGUAAUUUUAAAGAUGCUGGCUUUAAUCCCUUCGUAAAUCCCAUCUGAAGGAAUUUAAGAAUCUUUUGGAUGGAGGCGGAAACAGGGUUCUCUUUAAACCUACAAAGUUAUGCACUUCGGCGUAAAGAAUACACAAGCAACGUAUACCCUUAAUGGAAGCGAAUUAGGGAUAACAACACAUGAAAAGGACUUGGGAAUUGUUAUAGACAACAAACUAUGCAUCAAUGUGCAAUGUCAAUCAGCAGUGGCCAAGGCCAGUAAGGUAUUGUCAUGCAUGAAAAAGGGCAUUCAUUCUCGGGACAAGAAUAUAAUUUUGCCUCUUUAUAAAUCACUGGUAAGACCCCAUAUUGAAUAUGCUGUGCAAUUUUGGGCACCUGUUCUAAAGAAGGAUAUUAUGGCACUAGAAAAAGUGCAGAGGCGGGCUACAAAAUUAAUAAAAGGAAUGGAACAUAUCGGCUAUGAAGAAAGGUUAACAAAUUUAAACCUAUUUAGUUUAGAAAAA